CAAGUACUGCGUUGGUUUUGUGCAGUACAUUAGUACUUGUACUACAUUUCACUUACUUUUUUUUCACUCUUUCUUUCUUUAUUUCUGUUUUAUUUUUUUCACUCAUUUCACUUUUCUUUUUUUUUCUUUUUUUCACUCAGACCCUCUUCUUCUCUAUCCCAAGAGACCCAUGAUCCCCAAACUCCAUUAAGGACAAGAAGAUUGAGGACUCAAUCGAGAGACUGCCAUCCAGUGGUUGGGCAACAACCAGUUGUCGGAUGCCGAUAAGUUCGAAGACAAGAUGGAGUUGGAGAGCAUCUGCAACCCAAGCACAAGAACCUUUUGGUUGAUGAAUAGGAAGAGGAAAUUACAAGGGAAUUGAUUGAAAUUGCUUAGAUUCAGAAACCCUAAGAUCUUGCAGUGGUUGUUUUGAUGGAACCGCCGAUAAUGAUGUUGUUCGAAGAAGCGAAUCUUCAAAUGAGGAGAACGAAGAGGAAGAGGAAAGACCACCAAACUUGAGGCGUGGGUUAAAGAUUUGGACCUAUGGGGACCCGUAGGAAUCGGCCCGUUUCAAAAGGGCCGGGUUAGGUCUGGAUCCUAUUUUGAAAAAUCCAAAACCCGCCCCGCCCCAUUGUAUUUACGAAUUGGUCGGUCCGGUUCCUUCAAUUUUGGGCCCAGCCCGGCCCGGCCCGUGCCCAUCCCUACAUUGAACACUAUCGAUUCGAUCAUUUUUUAGGUUAUCACUAAAAUAUCAUCCUUGCAAAAACUUACAUGUAUUUGGAAGUUGUUUAGUUAUUUAAUUGUGCCACUUAGUACUACGGUCUAAUGAUAU